GCAAGUCGAGCGGAGCACAGGACAGCUUGCUCUCUGGGUGGCGAGUGGGGGAAGUGAGAGGAAUACGUCUGACUGUACUUUUUCGUGGGGGAUAACCUGCGGAAACUUACGCUAAUACCGCAUACGACCUACGGGUGAAAGCUGGGGAUCUUCGGACCUUGCGCAAUUGACUGAGCCGAUGUCGGAUUAUCUAGUUGGCGGGGUAAAGGCCCGCCAAGGCCACGAUCCGUACCUGGACUGAGAGGAUGAUCACCCACACUGAAACUGAGACACGACCCAUACUCCUACGGGAGGCGGCAGUGGGGAAUAUUGGACAAUGGGCGCAAGCCUGAUCCACCCAUACCGCGUGGGUGAACAAGGCCUUCGGGUUGUAAAGCCCUUUUGUUGGGAAAGAAAUCCAUCUGGCUAAUACCCGGUUGGGAUGACGGUACCCAAAGAAUAAGCUCCGUUUAACUUCGUGCCCGCAGCCGCACA
rnacentral:rRNA from 1 species